AUGAACGUUGGCGGCGUGGAUUAGGCAUGCAAGUCGAGCGGUAGGGAGUCACUCACUCGCUGUUUUCCCGGCGACCCGUUGGGAUCGCGGCUAGGGCUUAUUAAGUGAUAAGCGAAUAGCCGCGACCAAACUUGGUCGCAGGCGAAGCGCGAGUGAGUGGCUCCUGAGAGCGGCGAAAGGGAGAGUAACGCGUAGUUACGUGCCCCAGGGUUCGGAAUAGCCACGGGAAACUGUGGGUAAUGCCGAAUAACAUCUUCGGAUCAAAGGUGUGAUUCCGCCCUGGGAGCGGACUGCGUUGUACUAGCUAGUUGGUAGGGUAAUGGCCUACCAAGGCGAUGAUGCAUAGCGGGCGUGAGAGCGUGGCCCGUCUCACUGGGACUGAGACACUGCCCAGACACCUACGGGUGGCUGCAGUCGAGAAUCUUCGGCAAUGCGCGCAAGCGUGACCGAGCGACGCCGUGUGU
rnacentral:rRNA from 1 species